GACGAACGCUGGCGGCGUGCUUAACACAUGCAAGUCGAGCGGUAAGGCCCUUUCGGGGGUACACGAGCGGCGAACGGGUGAGUAACACGUGGGUGACCUGCCCUCAGCUCUGGGAUAAGCCUGGGAAAACCGGGUCUAAUACUGGAUAUGACUCCAUGACGCAUGUUGUGGGGUGGAAGCCUUGUGCGGCUGAGGAUGGGCCCGCGGCCUAUCAGCUUGUUGGUGGGGUGANGGCCUACCAAGGCGACGACGGGUAGCCGGCCUGAGAGGCGACCGGCCACACUGGGACUGAGACACGGCCCAGACUCCUACGGGAGGCAGCAGUGGGGAAUCUUGCGCAAUGGGCGAAAGCCUGACGCAGCGACGCCGCGUGAGGGAUGACGGCCU
rnacentral:rRNA from 1 species